GCCAGGCGUGGUGGCUCAUGCCUGUAAUCCCAGCUACUCAGGAGGCUGAGGCAGGAGAAUCGCUUGAACCCAGGAAGCAGAGGUUGCAGUGAGCCGAGAUAGUGCCACUGCACUCCCACCUGGGUGACAGAGCGAGACUCUGUCUCAA
ensembl:misc_RNA Metazoa_SRP Metazoan signal recognition particle RNA